UAUAGUGGGGUUAAUGGGAGAGGUAGGAGAGGUGGGAAGUUAGGAUAUUUUGGUUAUGCGAUCAUGGGUAUAAUAUUACAAAUUAAUCCCUUUACUUUGCUUAUAUUAUAGUUUAGGUAAAAUAACAAAAUAUUAUAUGUUUGAAGUGGAGCAUCUUGCAAAUAUAUGAAAGGGAAAGGAUUAAUUUGCUAUUUGUAAUACCCAUGCAUGCCUACGAGAACAUUCUCUCUCUUCCUUCUUUCUGUAAUCUAUACACCUGGUGCAUGGAUUAACCUAUGCACCACGUUCAAAAUUUGAACUCAAAUUUUCUCCAUGCACCUAGUGCAUAGAUCAUCUCAUACACCAUUAUUCAAAUGUUCUCUCUUUCCACUUUUUUUCUUUCUCUUUUUUUUUCUUCUUCUUCUUCCUCCCUUCUUUUUUUUUAUGCUUCAACAACCAUUCUUUUGCUUUAG
rnacentral:lncRNA from 1 species